AACUUUACGAUUAUGGACUCAG
rnacentral:miRNA from 1 species